UCAGCUCUCAUUCAUUGUAGUUAAAGCACCCCUAGUGCUUAAGAAAAGGUCCAUUUAUAAAGUGUUCCUUCAAUAGGAAGUUUUCUGGGGUCACUUAGUAGGAUUCUAGGCAUUUACUGGUUCUGCUUUUCAUGCUUGUAUGGCUGGGCAUUGUUGUCCGGAAGGUUUCUGAGUUAUCUCCAACUAUUUUAAUUGGAAAUGUAUGUGUUAUUCUACACUAUGCAAAAGACUCGAUGAUUAGAAAGUAUCUAAUGCUAUGUAAUUAUACAGGUGUUGCAAAUUACAGUUCUGUUGGCAGGUAGAAAACUCAGUGUUGAUCCAGAAUAGCAGUGUUUUCUUCUUGUCAUUGUCUCCAUUUUGCAAUGUUUAUAUGUUAAACCUGCAGGUACCUCAAUAUAGCUGUCUAUGAAAUGGCUUGGCUUUCUUGACUUUAUUUCUAGUCCAAAAUAGUAAAGAGGAAAUUAAAGCAAUAUCUUCCAGCAGUGAAUUGGGUUUGCUAGAGUGUCACCACUGAUCUCGUAAUUAGCCUCUCAGUAUACCAUGUUGUCUCUUGGUCUUCAGAGAGAAAGAAAAUGAGUAGAAAUGAAAUGCAGUUUGUACUACUCCUGAAAAACUGAAAACAUAAUUGGGAAGUCAAGAGUCAUGUGAGAAGCUGCAUUUUAUGAUGUUGAUUUAUUUAGAAAUGUGAAAGUUGUGGAAAAGAAUGAGAAUGAAAUACAAUUCUUACAAAAAGAUUAAAAAUAAACUGCACUUCCACAUGAAUAUCCAAACUUUUUUCACUACUAUAGUUAAGAAACUGCAGAAUUUCUUCCAGUGGUUCAUAUGGUGUGCAGACUACAGUUGUUAGUCGUUUCCCUUUUAAUUUACCCGAAGUUACCACUAUGGAGUGUUUUCAAAAUAAUUUUUUGCAGUUCUGCUAAAACUAAUGUGCCAAACACAGCUCGUCUUCUUAGUGAGGAAGACCUUUGAGAAUGUACGAGAACUCACCUUUUUCACAAUGCUUUUGGAGGGAAGAGCACAACUGUUGUUUCUGUAGUCUCUGUGUAGGAUUGUCCUCGCUAGAAACUAUUUCUGAUGUGUUGUGUUCAUCUCUGCUGCUACCAAGUACCAAAGAAGGUUCUGUAGGCUAGUUAGCACAUGAUAUAUAUUUCUGGGAGUCUGUAUGUAAGACAUGUUCAUCACAGCACCUCUGGAAGGCUUAACACGCAUUUCCCAAGGAUGCAGAGCUCUACAGCAUCUUAAGGACGGUCAUUACGUUAUAGGAGCUAUGUGAAUUAGGAAUAGUUCAUCCCCCAAGAUAUUCCUGUUAAGGCUUUU
ensembl:lncRNA